GAGGAAGUCAGCAGUGGCCAGUGAUUCAGUCGUUGCAUUGGCAUCGAUGCUGACAUGAUUGCAGCGAUGUGUACACCUCUGCUGGUUGUUCUCAGCGCCGGCGUCUUGCUUCACUCUGUGUCAGCUGGAGGCGUGUAUUGUGCAAGAACAGCGAGAGCCCGUGCUGCUGCCUUGGGUUUGGAUUUCCCUGGAGUCCAUGGAGCCCCUGAUUUUCCUGGACCAGCUCACCAUGCGAUGCACCCCGGCACAAUGCCGCUAGGACCUCAACCUUACGAAAACAACGAUCGUGUAGUGGAUGAGACUGAAUCGAACAUGGC